rnacentral:lncRNA from 1 species
UUUUUUUAUGUCAUUGUUGUUGUCUUUGAAUGAUAUCUCAAUCAGACUUAGUGUCGAUGCAAAGGUGUGCAUAUUUAUUAGCCUAUUCAUCCAUUUCUCCUAUUUGUUCAUGGCGUAAAACAUAGUCCUGUGAUCUGAAGUCAUACAAUUACUUUUUUGUUCUAUUGUUGUUUUUCUGUGCAAAUCAUCUAUCUUGCUUAUUGACUUCUUUUUAUUUUGUUCAGGAAAGGUCAUACCGGUUUUGAGCUCUCUCAUGUGAAAUGAUUUAUUUGGAUCAAGAUGGUUUUAGACUUUUAGGAGGAAUUCAUAUGUAGGUUUAUGUUCCCUUGUGGAUGAAAAGGUACAUUUAUAUACUAUAUGAUUUUAGUGAGCUUGAUGCUUUGUUUGGGAGUUGAUUGGUUCAAUCUUUUCCUUUCAUGCAUGUGAUUCCUAUAUUAUAGGCUCGGGUGCUCUGUUUUUUAGAUGCUCAGAUGAAGAGGUUUCCUCUCCUGGUAUUGUCUGGAUAGAGAAAGAGAUCUCUGUUUGCAUUAGUAUUGGUGGUGUCCCUGUCCCAGUUCUAUUAUCAGGAGUCAUUGAGCAGGAUGAUUCACAAGAACUUAUGCUUUGAGUUGUCUUUAACAAGAUACCAAGGAGAGAAAAGGCUGAAGCUAUAUGUUCGUGUUUGAGUUAUUUGCAAUAUAUGUACACAAAAUUUUCCGUCAGGAACAGACAUUUUCUUAAUGAGAUCACUGAGUUACCCCUUUAUCAUGUUUUGCAUUAUCUACAGACAGAAUAUUCUUACAUGGGGUCUGGCAUCAUCUACUAGCCUUAGUUUAGUACCAUUGAACAACUUUCCAUUCAUUUCUAAUUUAUCUUUGCUACGAAGUUGCAGGGUGAUGGAAUACACUGUCUUGUGCCCAAAGGCUUGCUUUCCAAAUUUCAGCAGCUGAUGUCUGAAGGUCGUGUAUGUUAUCUACAGUUCUUUCAUAUUAGCCCCGCCAAAAGGCAGGUCUGGUUCAUGUACCUUAGAUUUGAAUUGUAGUUUCCUUCUGUCAAACUUGUAGAUGCCGUGCCUGAAGGUUUUCUGCUGUAAUUUACAGGCUUGAGAAGUUGAGAUAUUUCAGGUCAAGAUUCAACUGGUCGAUUUGGGUGCAGAACUUUUGAGGUUGAUCAUUCUGUUGAAUGCAUUGCUGAAUGAGGACGUCGAUUUAAGACAGACAAGGAAUCUACUAUGCACCGAACAGCUCUGACUCGGCACAACAGAUACCGCCUCCAACAAGCAAGAACGAAGCCAACGGAAGGAAACACCACCAAACUCAACAUAAUUAAGACACAACGCAAUGGAACAUAAUUAAGACACAACGCAAUGGAAUUGAAACCACGGUGACGCAAAUGACCAUAAUAAUCCACGAAGAAAGAAAAGGGAAGUUGAACCCAGAAUCAAAAAACGGCGCGGCAAAGCGCGCGUCACCUUCUAGUCCACGUACAUGAUAGGUAACAAGGCAAGUCAGUUUGUAAAGGAAAGUGAUCAAAAGAGACAGGAAAAUAAAGAUUGUUAUUUUUUUAGUCGGUCACGACCACCAGAAGUUGCCGAUGGUUUGCCUAACGAGCAUCGCUCGUGGAGAUUAUUCUCCCUGAAGGACACGGGCUGGGGCCCACCAACAUGCAUGGCAAUUAGAGAUAACGUGCAUGACACAAAUAUUAGAUACAUCAGCUUAGAUUUUUCUGGUUCUAGUUGGUUGGGUACUUUUCUUUCGGGUCAAGUUAGAGGUGCGGCUACUACUAUAAAGCCAAGCCUGCGUGCUUUGUAAUUUUUAGGUUAUAUUUUCUACAGGUUAGACAACAUGUGUAUCAAAUAUUAAGUAGCCCUCUUUGGGUGUCGUUGUUAAUUAUUUUGUGUGAUUUUUCUGCAUGAAAGUUGCACUUGGCUCGAGGUCUGUCGUUCUCGACGGGUUGCGUGCUGGUUACGUCUACUUCAGCGGGAGGUUGCUCGUGUGUCGAGGGAUUGUCUGUUGAUCGUCGUUACCCCUACUUCAGGUUACGCGUACUGCUCGUGUAAUUGGGAGUAAUUUUUUAAUCCGUGGAUCUUGAAGGUUAUUGCAUCGUAAAAGAUCGGGCCAUAUCAGAGGCACGUCCGAGGUCGUGCCCCAUCAUGUAGGCUCGGGAUUAUUAACGAGGUGAAUGCGUCACUGGCAGAGCGCUAUAUUGUCCCUAGAGAAUGCGCCAUUGACAGAGCGCACUUGAGGCGAGGUAUAGUUUUCGGAACUUAAAUCAGGUGAAUGCAUCCUUGGCGGAGCGCUCUAUUGUUUCUAGAGAAUGCGCCACUGACAAAGCGCACUUGAGAUACUUCUGAAGUUCUUGUCAUGUGUACUUAGAAUUUUUGGGGUUAUCUUGCGCGAAUAAAUUAGAUGCGGUUGUGAGUUUAUUUAGUGGAGGUAGGUGAAGACAUUCUUCUCCAAACUAACUUGAGUGUUUUGUUUGUCAUACUUUGCUUGUGGAUGUAGGUUUGCUAUAUCAUAUUGUGUUAUUUGCCAAUACAUUCAAUGUAUUGACCCUUUGUGGCUGCAACUCAUCAUGUUGCAGGAUAUUCAAGUGAUCCGUGAGAUACAGUAGGGUCGAGAGUCUUCACUCAGCAUUUUUGCCAUGGGCAUUGAUGGGACUCAUCGUUUGUUUAUGCUACAUUUUCGCUGUUAUUAUUGAAUGAAGUUAGCUAUGUGCUACUUAGUUUGUAAUACUUUAUGAAUUCUGGAUCAUACGUUAUAGUAAAUGAUGCACUUGUUAUUUGAUAUUCAUAUGUACUGUGUAUGCUAGCGAGUCGAUCUGGGGACUAGCACAGUGAGCACAGAGCCAUCGAAUCUUAUCAGGUUCGGGUCGUUACACCCCUAUCGCCCACACUCACUUGGCGAUGGUUCCAAAUAACGUCACGGAAAGGGGUUAAAAACUGUUUAUAUAGCACCUACGCGUACUAGUGAAGGUGUCAAGCCGGUGACGAGAUGGUGCUUUGGAGAUGGAGAUCAAAAGCACAAUAUGAUGGCCAUAUCAUGUCACAUAUUUGUUGGGGAACGUAGCAGAAAUUCAAAAUUUUCCUACGUGUCACCAAGAUCUAUCUAUGGAGAGACCAGCAACGAGUAGAAGGAGAGUGCAUCUACAUACCCUUGUAGAUCGCUAAGCGGAAGCGUUCAAGUGAACGGGGUUGAUGGAGUCGUACUCGUCGUGAUUCAAAUCACCGAUGAUCAAGUGCCGAACGCACGGCACCUCCGCGUUCAACACACGUACAGCCCGAUGACGUCUCCCACGCCUUGAUCCAGCAAGGAGAGAGGGAGAGGUUGAGGAAGACUCCAUCCAACAGCAGCACAACGGCGUGGUGGUGGUGGUGGAGGAGCGUGGCAAUCCAGCAGGGCUUCGCCAAGCACCAUGGGAGAGGAGGAGUAGGGAGAGAGGCAGGGCUGCACCAAGAGGAAGAGAACUCAUGUGUAUGGCAGCCCCAAACCUCAACUAUAUAUAGGGGGAAGGGGGGGCUGCGCCCCCUUUAGGGUUUCCCACCCCCAAGGGGUGCGGCCAGCCCUAGAUGGCAAAGGGGGUGGCGGCCAAGAGGGGAGAGGAGAGGGAGGCGCACCAAUAUGGGCCUUAAGGCCCAUCUGGACUAGGGUUUGCCCCCUCCCACUCUCCCUUGCGCCUUGCACCCUUGUGGGGGGCGCACCAGCCCUCCUAGGGGCUGGUCCCCUCCCACACUUGGCCCACGCAACCUGCUGGGGCAGGUGGCCCCACUUGGUGGACCCCCGAGACCCUCCCGGUGGUCCCGGUACAAUACCGAUAUCGCCCGAAACUUUUCCGGUGACCAAAACAGGACUUCCCAUAUAUAAAUCUUUACCUCCGGACCAUUCCGGAACUCCUCGUGACGUCCGGGAUCUCAUCCGGGACUCCGAACAACAUUCGGUAACCACAUACAAACUUCCUUUAUAACCCUAGCGUCAUCGAACCUUAAGUGUGUAGACCCUACGGGUUCGGGAGACAUGCAGACAUGACCGAGACGUUCUCCGGUCAAUAACCAACAGCGGGAUCUGGAUACCCAUGUUGGCUCCCACAUGUUUCACGAUGAUCUCAUCGGAUGAACCACGAUGUCAAGGACUUAAUCAAUCCCGUAUUCAAUUCCCUUUGUCUAUCGGUAUUGUACUUGCCCGAGAUUCGAUCGUCGGUAUCCUUAUACCUUGUUCAAUCUCGUUACCGGCAAGUCUCUUUACUCGUUCCGUAACACAUCAUCCCGUGAUCAACUCCUUGGUCACAUUGCGCAUAUGAUGAUGUCCUACCGAGUGGGCCCAGAGAUACCUCUCCGUUUACACGGAGUGACAAAUCCCAGUCUCGAUCCGCAUAAAACAAUAGAUACUUUCGGAGAUACCUGUAGUGCACCUUUAUAGUCACCUAGUUACGUUGUGACGUUUGAUACACCCAAAGCACUCCUACGGUAUCCAGGAGUUACACGCUCUCAUGGUCAAAGGAAGAGAUACUUGACAUUGGCAAAGCUCUAGCAAACGAACUACACGAUCUUUGUGCUAUGCUUAGGAUUGGGUCUUGUCCAUCACAUCAUUCUCCUAAUGAUGUGAUCCCGUUAUCAACGACAUCCAAUGUCCAUAGCCAGGAAACCAUGACUAUCUGUUGAUCACAACGAGCUAGUCAACUAGAGGCUCACUAGGGACAUAUUGUGGUCUAUGUAUUCACACGUGUAUUACGAUUUCCGGAUAAUACAGUUAUAGCAUGAAUAAAAGACAAUUAUCAUGAACAAGGAAAUAUAAUAAUAACACUUUUAUUAUUGCCUCUAGGGCAUAUUUCCAACAAUAUUUUGAUUGCAUGUAAUGUUUAUCUUUUAUGCAUCUUAUUUUGCGUAGAACGGUGGUAGCAUUAUAAGAUGAUCACUUCGCUUAAUUUCAAGAUAAAAGUGUUCUCCCUGAGUAUGCACCAUUGCUACAGUUCAUCGCUUCGAGACACCACAUGAUGAUCGGGUGUGAUAGACUCUACGUUCACAUACAACGGGUGUAAGACAGUUUUGCACAUGCAGAAUACUUGGGUUAAACUUGACGAGCCUAGCAUGUACAGACAUGGUCUCGGAACACUGGAGUGUGAGUCAUAUAGUAGAUAUGAUCAACAUAGAGAUGUUCAUCAUUGAUGACAACCCCAUCUCACGUGAUGAUCAGACAUGGGUUAGUUGAUUUGGAUCAUGUAUCACUUAGAUGACUAGAGGGAUGUCUAUUUAAGUGGGAGUUCUUAAGUAAUUUGAUUAAUUGAACUUAAUUUAUCAUGAACUUAGUCUUGAUAGUUUUGCAUAUCUAUGUUGUAGAUCAAUAGCUCGCGAUAUAGCUCCUAUAUUUUUUUGAUAUGUUCCUAGAGAAAACUAAGUUGAAAUAUGAUAGUAGCAAUGAUGCGGACUGGGUCCGUGAUCUGAGGAUUAUCCUAAUUGAUGCACAGAAGAAUUAUUUGCUUGAUGCACGCUAGGUGACAAACCUGUUGCAGGAGCAGAUGCAGACGUUAUGAACAUUUUGCAAGCUCGGUAUGAUGACUACUUAAUAGUUUAGUGCAUCAUGCUUUACGGCUUAGAACCGGGGCUUCAAAACCGUUUUUGAAUGCCACGGAGCAUAUGAGAUGUUCCAAGAGCUAAAAAUUGGUAUUUCAGAUUCAUGCCCGUGUCGAGAGGUAUGAGACCUCUGACAAGUACUUUGCCUACAAGAUAGAGGAGAAUAGCUCAGCCGGUGAGCAUGUACUCAGAAUAUCUUGAUACUACAAUCGCUUGAAUCAAGUGGGAGUUAAUCUUCCAGAUAAGAUAUUGAUUGACAAGGUUCUCUAGUCACUAUCACCAAGCUACUAGAACUUCGUGAUGAACUAUAAUAUGCAAGGGAUGACAAAACGAUUCCCAAGCUCUUCGCGAUGCUAAAAUCGGCGAAGGUAGAAAUCAAGAAAGAGCAUCAAGUGUUGAUGGUUAACAAGACCACUAGUUUCAAGAAAAAGGGCGAGGGAAAGAAAGGGAACUUCAAGAAGAAUGGAAAGCAAGUUGCCACUCCCGGGAAGAAGCCCAAAGCUGGACCCAAGCCUGGAACUGAGUGCUUCUAUUGCAAAGGGACUGGUCACUGGACAUGGAACUGCCUGAAAUACUUGGCGGAUAAGAAGGUAUAUUUGAUAUACAUGUUAUUGAUGUGUACCUUACUAAUGCUUGUAGUAGCGCCUGAGUAUUUGAUACUGGUUCGGUUGCUCAUAUUUGUAACUCGAAACAGGAGCUACGGAUUAAACAAAGAUUGGCUAAGGACGAGGUGAUGAUGCACGUUGGGAAUGGUUCGAAGGUUGAUGUGAUCGUCGUCGGCACGCUACCUCUACAUCCACCUUCAGGAUUUGUUUUAGACCUGAAUAAUUAUUAUUUGGUGCCAACGUUGAGCAUGAACAUUAUAUCUGGAUCUUGUUUAGUGCGAGACAGUUAUUCAUUUAAAUCAGAGAAUAAUGGUUGUUCUAUUUAUAUGAGUAAUAUCUUUUAUGGUCAUGCACCCUUGAAGAAUGGUCUAUUCUUGUUGAAUCUCGAUUGUAGUAGUACACAUAUUCAUAAUAUUGAUGCCAAAAUAUGCAAAGUUGAUAAUGAUAGUGCAACAUAUUUGUGGCACUGCCGUUUAGGUCACAUUGGUGUAAUGUGCGUGAAGAAACUCCAUGCGGAUGGAAUUUUGGAAUCACUUGAUUACGAAUCAUUUGAUACUUGCGAACCAUGCCUCAUGGGCAAGAUGACUAAAACUUCGUACUCUAAAACAAUGGAGCGAGCCAAUGACUUAUUAUAAAUAAUACAUACCGAUGUAUGCGGUCCGUUGAGUAUUGAGGCACGUGGCGGAUAUCGUUAUUUUCUGACCUUCACAGAUGAUUUGAGUAGAUAUGGGUAUAUUUACUUAAUGAAACACGAGUCUGGAACAUUUGAAAAGUUCAACGAAUAUCAGAGUGAAGUGGAGAAUCAUCGUAACAAGAAAAUAAAUUUCUACAAUCUGAUCGAGGAGGUGAAUAUUUGAGUUACGAGUUUGGCCUUCAUUUGAAACAAUGUGGAAUUGUUUCACAACUCACGCCACCUGGAACACCACAUCGUAAUGGUGUGUCCGAAAUUGUAGCCGUACUUUAUUGGAUAUGGUGCAUUCUAUGAUGUCUCUUACCGAGUUACCACUAUUGUUUGGGGUUAGGCGUUAGAGACAGCCGCAUUCACGUUAAAUAGGGCUGCGUCUAAAUCCAUUGAGACGACACCUUAUGAAUUGUGGUUUGGCAAGAAACCUAAGUUGUCAUUUCUUAAAGUUUGGAGUUGCGACACUUAUGUCAAAAGGCUUCAGCCUGAUAAGCUCGAACCCAAAUCGGAGAAGUGCGUCUUCAUAAGAUACCCUAAGGAAACAAUUGGGUACACCUUCUACCACAGAUCCGAAGGCAAGAUCUUUGUUGCCAAUAAUGGAACGUUUCUAGAGAAGAAGUUUCUCUCGAAAGAAGUGAGUGGGAGGAAUGUAGAACUUGAUGAGGUAAUUGUACCUUCUCUCAAUUUGGAAAGUAGCACAUCAGAGAAAUCUUUUCCCGUGAUGCCUACACCAACUAGAGAGGAAGCUAAUGAUGAUGAUCAUGAAACUUCAUAUCAAGUUACUACUGGACCUCGUAGGUCGAACAGAGCAUGUUCCGCACCAGAGUGGUAUGGCUCCUGUCCUGGAAGUCAUGUUACUAGACCAUGGCGAACCUACGAACUAUGAAGAAGUUAUGAUGAGCCCAGAUUCCGAUAGAUGGCUUGAGGCCAUGAAAUCUAAGAUAGCAUCCAUGUAUGAGAACAAAGUGUGGACUUUGGUGCACUUGCCCGAUGAUCGGCAAGCCAUUGAGAAUAAAUGGAUCUUCAAGAAGAAGACAGAUGUUGAUGGUAAUGUCACCAUCUACAAAGCUCGACUUGUCGUGAAAGGUUUUCGACAAGUUCAAGGGGUUGACUAUGAUGAGACCUUCUCACCCGUAGCGAUUCUUAAAUAAGUCCAAAUCAUGUUAGCAAUUGCCGCAUUUUAUAAUUAUGAAAUUUGGCAAAUGUAUGUCAAAACUGCAUUCCUUAAUGGAUUUCUUAAAGAAGAGUUGUAUAUGAUGGAACCAGAAGGUUUUGUCGAUCCUAAAGGUGCUAACAAAGUGUGCAAGCUCCAACGAUCCAUCUAUGGACUGGUGCAAGCAUCUCAGAGUUAGAAUAUAUGCUUUGAUGAGGUGAUAAAAACAUAUGUUUUUAUACAGACUUAUGAUGAAGCUUGUAUUUACAAGGAAGUGAGUGGGAGCUAUGUAGCAUUUCUAAUAUUAUAUGUGGAUGACAUAUUAUUGAUUGGAAAUGAUAUAGAAUUUCUGGAUAGCAUAAAAGGAUACUUGAAUAAGAAUUUUUCAAUGAAAGACCUCGGUGAAGCUACUUAUAUAUUGGGCAUCAAGAUCUAUAGGGAUAGAUCGAGACGCUUAAUAGACUUUCACAAAGCACAUACCUUGAUAAAGUUUUGAAGAAGUUCAAAAAUGGAUUAGUCAAAGAAAGGGUUCUUGCCUGUGUUACAAGGUGUGAAGUUGAGUAAGACUCAAAGCCCAAUCACGGCAGAAGAUAGAGAGAGAAUGGAAGUCAUUCCCUAUGCCUCAUCCAUAGGUUCUAAAGUAUGCCAUGCUAUAUACCAGACCUAUUGUGUGCCUUUCCAUGAGUUUGGCAAGGGGGUACAAUAGUAAUCUAGGAAUGGACCACUGGACAACGGUCAAAAUUAUCCUUAGGUACCUGAAAAGGACUAAGGAAAUGUUUCUUGAUUAUGUAGGUGAUAAAGAGUUCAUCGUAAAGGGUUACAUCGAUGCAAGCUUUAACACCAAAUCAGAUGACUCUAAGUCUCAAUCUAGAUAUGUAUUGAACAUGGGAACAAUUAGCUAGAGUAGCUCCAUGCAGAGCAUUAUUGACAUAGAAAUUUGCAAAAUACAUACGAAUCUGAAUGUGACAGGCCCGUUGACUAAACCUCUCUCACAGGCAAAACAUGAUCACACCUUAGUACUUUUUGAGUGUUAAUCACAUGGCGAUGUGAACUAGAUUAUUGACCCUAGUAAACUCUUUGGGUGUUAGUCACAUGGUGAUGUGAACUAUGGGUAUUAAUCACAUGGCAAUGUGAACUAGAUUAUUGACUCUAGUGCAAGUGGAAGACUGAAGGAAAUAUGCCCUAGAGGCAAUAAUAAAGUUAUUAUUUUAUAUUUCCUUAUUCAUGAUAAAGAUUUAUUAUUCAUGCUAGAAUUGUAUUGAUCAGAAACUUAAAUACAUGUGUGAAUACAUAAACAAAUACUGUGUCCCUAGUAAGCCUCUACUAGACUAGCUCGUUGGUCAAAUAUGGUUAAGGUUUCCUAACCAUAGACAUGUGUUGUCAUUUAACGAGAUCACAUCAUUAGGAGAAUAAUGUGAUGGACAAGACCCAUCCGUUAGCUUAGCAUAUUGAUCAUUUAGUUUAUUACUAUUGCUUUCUUCAUGUCAAAUACAUAUUCCUUCGACUAUGAGAUUAUGCAACUCCCGGAUACCGGAGGAAUACCUUGUGUGCUAUCAAACGUCACAACGUAACUGGGUGAUCAUAAAGAUGCUCCGCAGGUAUCUCUGAAGGUGUUUGUUGAGUUGACAUAGAUUGAGAUUAGGAUUUGUCACUCCGAGUAUCGGAGAGGUAUCUUUGGGCCCUCUCGGUAAUGCACAUCAUAAGCUUGCAAGCAAAUGACUAAGGAGUUAGUCACGAGGUGAUGUAUUACGGAACGAGUAAAGAGACUUGCUGGUAAGGAGAUUGAACUAGGUAUGAAGAUACCGACGAUCGAAUCUCGGGCAAGUAACACACCGAUGGACAAAGGGAAUUACGUAUGUUAUCAUAACGGUUCAACCGAUAAAGAUCUUCGUGGAAUAUGUAGGAGCCAAUAUGGGCAUCCAGGUUCCGCUAUUGGUUAUUAACCAGAGAGGUGUCUCGGCCAUGUCUACAUAGUUCUUGAACCUUAGGGUCCGCGCGCUUUACGUUCGUUGACGAUAUUGUGUUAUGUGAGUUAUAUAAUUUGGUGCCCGAACAUUGUUCGGAGUCCCCGAUGAGAUCACGGACAUGACAAGGAGUCUCUACAUGGUCGAGAGGUAAAUAUUGUUAUAUAGGACGAGGGUAUUCGGACGCCGGCAGUGUUUCGGAGGGUGCCGAGUACUUAUCGGGUCACCGGAAGGUGUUCGGGGCACCCCCCCCCCCCGACAAAGCUAUGGGCCUUACGGGCCAUGUGAGGAAACACAUCAGUCGACAAGGGGCUGGUGCACCCCCCAUAGCCGGUCGGCCCUAGGGGAGAAGGAAAGUGGAGACUAGGUCUCCCCUUUCCUUCCCCCUCAUCCUCCUUCCUUUCCCCUUCGAGGAAAUAUGGCAAGGCGGCACAGGGCAAGGCAGGGGCCCUAGGGGUCGGCGGCCAGCCCUAGGGCGCACCUGGCUACCUCCUAUCCCCUCACCUAUAUAUACAUGGGGAGGGGGCGCCACAUAAGGACACACAACGUUGUCUUAGCCGUGUGCGGCGCCCCCGUCCACCGUUUACUCCCUCGGUCAUAUUUUCGUAGUGCUUAGGCGAAGCUCUGCGGAGAUCACAUCACCAUCACCGUCACCACGCCGUUGUGCUGCCGUAACUCAUCUACUACUUCACCAUCUUGUUGGAUCAAGAAGGCGAAGGACGUCACCGAGCUGAACGUGUGCAGAACGCGGAGGUGCCGUGCGUUCGGUACUAGAUCGGUCGGAGCGCGAAGAAAGUUUGACUACAUCAACCGCGUUGUGAAACGCUUCCGCUUACGGUCUACGAGGGUACAUAGACACACUCUCCCCUUCUUGUUGCUAUGCAUCUCCAUGGAUAGAUCUUCCGUGUGCGUAGAAUUUUUUUGUUUUCCAUGCAACUUUUCCCAACAGGAGGUCGGGGAAGAGCCGUGUGUAGGCUUGAUCUCGGGCACUGUCGUUCAUGUCUAGCCAGGAAUCAUAGCCAUCAGGCCCAGCGGCACGUCCUCUUGAUUCGUAAAUGGACCGAGGAGGCACUUGGUUUGUCUCAAUGUGACGUAGAGCGUCAUGAUGGUCUAGGUAGUCGACGUGGUCCUUGCCAUGAUGGCAUGGUGUCGUUUGAGUGCGGAAAUCUUCCUGUGUUGGCCUGUCCCGCCCUCUAGGGGGUCGGUCAGGUUGGUCUGGCCGUCCGCGUGUUAAAAGUGCAUCGUCCGAUAGUUCUUCGUCGAACUCGGGCAACAAACAUCUACACGGGUAAGACUUAGGCGCACUACGACGUCGUUCCUUGAGAUCUUGCUCGGCUGAGAGUAUUUCGACCCAUUUGUCGUUCAAAGCAUCCUCGUUGGCCUGCAACUGCUGCUGCUUCCGAUUCAUACUGUGAGCAGUGGCGACGAGACGCCGUCUGAAGCGCUCUUGCACAAUGGGGUCUCGGGACUAUAUAGUCCUCGGUGCCGAGGCUCUCGUCCUCCUUGGAUGCCGGCAUGUAAUUUUCACCGGCCCCUUCAAAGAGGUCAUCAGGGUCCUCCUCCCCGGGGAUUCAUCCGGGGCUGACACGCCGCUCUUGGGAGGCUUGAAGGUCCUUCUCAGGAUUGCCGGCGUCAUCGGCUAUUGCCGCGCCAUUAUUAGCGGUGGCGUUAUUCCCGGCGGUGUCCCCUGUGUUGCCCCUUCUGCGUCUACGCCGACGUCUUGGAGGGGAGUUGGGAGUAUUGACCAUGUAGACAUCAUAAGUAGAUGUUGCGGUCCACUUGCCGGUGUUAGUUUGCGGCGAGGUGGUCUCUGCAAGGCCGUCGACAUCUUCAUCCAUGUCUGUGGCCUCGUCAUAGUCUAGCACGUCGAUUAAAUCAUCGAUCGUGGCAACUAGAUGGGUGGUGGGUGGGACGUAAAUUUCUCGGUCGUCGGCUUUAAGUCCGAUUCUGUCAUAAACCGAGGUUCUGCCAUCCGAGAUCGACAAGUUCUGGAUUCGGUAAAGCAUCUCAUUAAGGUGGGAUAACUCCUUGGGAUUCGUGGCCUGGUCAUAGGCUGGGUUAACUCGAAGUAGCAUUGUGGUACGGUCAAUGCGUCUUCGGCCGCGCCAGGAGCCAGAGUGGAUUCUAGAUCCAUGAUCGGGAUCGGUUCUAAGCCCGAUACCGGAUUCGAAGCCGAGCUUUGAUUUAAGUCGGAGUUUGGUGUUGUGAUGGAGCCUUCAGAGGUGGGGGGGGGCAGCCCCUUCGUGCCUCCUGGUGUUGGAGGGCCUGAUGCGUCGUCCUUAAGGGAAGUCCGUUCCGAGUCGAGCUUGUGAUGCUCGUCAAGCCCUGAAUCCGGCCAGGCGUCCAGCCCGACAGGACAAGCUCACUGCAUGGAUCCGCGUUGUACUCUAGCCCUCCAAAGGUUACAACCUGAUCGGGGGCGUAGUUCUCAACGGUGGCCAGAUAGCCCGUCAAGUCGGCGCAGAAAAUCUUGACGUCAACACACAAAAAGUUGGCUGGUGCCGCACUUGACCUGCAGAUGAGCCAUCGGUCCUUUGCCGAUCUUACACGGAACUCUCAAUGAAAGUACCAGUGUCGGUGUGAAAUCCGGCAUACCUCGGGGUAGGGGGUCCCGAUCUGUGGAUCUCGAAUCAAGGGUAACAGGAACAGGGAGACGAUAUUUACCCAAGUUCGGGCCCUCUUGAUGGAGGUAAAACCCUACGUCCUGCUCUUGUUUAUAUUGAUGCAGAUGUAUCGAAUACAGAGUUGAUCUACCUCGAGAUCAUAAGAUGUGUUCUAACUCUAAAGCUAGGUGAAUGAGAUUACGUUUUUGUUGUUCCCUCUACAGGCUAACCCUUUGGCUUAUAUACACGCCAGGUAGGGCAUCUAGGGUUACAAAGUCGGAAUCUUGGCAUGGGGGCAGCUGAAGUCUUGAAGUGUACGUCAAGCCUUCGACAGAUGCAGUCUUGAUCACGCCCCAUCGCACGGCUUCCGGAGUCCACUUCAAGAUGAAUGAGGGUCCACCAGCCCAUUCUGAGGAGCAUGGGCUGACUAGGUUAGCACCCCCUAGUCCAGGACACACGUCAGUAAUGGACCCAAAACGCCGCACAGCUGCCAUCCUCUUCCAUACAGGUGUGCCCAACAACGCUUGGCAAAGCCAUCGACGCACCAGGGACGAGCAUUCCCUAGGAGCUUACAGAGUUUAAAAAAGGAUACACGGGCCACUGGUAGCCGAGGGAACAACGUGAAGCAUAACGAUUUGGCUUGGAAGUAAUGAAGACAAUGACGCAUUGACAACCGACUAGCAUAAAAUUUGGAGCUUGACAUUAACACCCAAACCAUCAGGACUGCUGUUCCUUUUCCGUAUGGACCUUUUUUCUACAGGUCUAGUGUUGUUCUGUUUGGCGAAUCUUGAUUCUGGUAAAACAAUAAAACUACACCAUAUGUUGUUGAACGCUAUUGUUUCCUUCAUACAACAUCAUCAUGAUUCCCGAUUCAGCGAGACCAAUGGUGAUUCGCUUCUUCUUGACUUCAGAAAGGGAAAUGAUCACAAUGAUUUGCUGCAUCAAGUCCGGUACCUGAAAUAUAUUUGGAAAGAUCUUACACUGAGUUUAUCAUAUAUUUGAAAAUAUAUUUGGAAAGAACUUACAGUGAGUUUAUCAUAUACUCCCUCCGUCCCAUAAUAUAAGACGUUUAUGAGGGAGUAGUAGCAUACAAUAAACCUGAUCGUUGGGCUAAGAUAAACAAAUAUCAGACUAUACAUUCUCCACUGAGGAUCUGAACAACAAUGCCUUUUAGCGAGUUGGGAGUUGACUAAUAGAGUUGAAAGGCGUAUGAUCUUGAAACCAACUCAUAGUUUUGGCCCGUAGAUAGCUAACUUCCACACACCUUUGUCAUGACUAGUUCUUUGAUAAUAACCUAGUCCUUCAUAUCUCUCUUAACGGACUCCUUUCAUAUCAGGUUUGGUUUACACAAUUUUUCUUGACAUUAUGGCGAGAGGUCUUUGUUGUAUAUGCCCAAGCCAUUUCAGGGGAGGCACUGGCAUGAAACGAAAUUGAAUUUUGGUAUCGCUUGUCAUUCUUCUUAAGAGGUGCUCAGGGACUCUCCCAUAGCUUCAUUGUAGGGCUCAUCAGCUUAACUCCACGGUAAUUAGUACAACUUUCAACAUCCCCUUGCUCUUGAAGAGUGGUACUAAUAUACUCCGCCUCCGUACUCUGAGCAUCUUGUUUGCCUAAAAUAUGAGGUUGAAAAGUUUAAUUAGUCACAUUAUCGCCUAUGUCUCGGGGGCCUUUCCACACUCAACGGGGAUACAAUCAAGACCCAUAGCCUUGCCUCCUUUCAGCCUUUCUUUAAGUCACCCUGACCCCAGACUCCGGAAUUCAUCGCACAAAACGCCUAUUGGUAUCAUCAAAAGAGUGGUCCAGCUCAAAAGUAGAGCUCUCUCUCUCUUCAUUGACUUUGUUUUUGCUGCAUUUGACUUGGUUGAUAUCCCUCAUCUUCUCUCUCGACUCUUGGCCAUAGAUGUCCCUUUCGCCUUCCUUUGUGUUUAAACACAAGUAGAGAUCCUCAUACGCCCAAUAACUUGCUUCACUCACGGCUCAUUUUGCAAUCUUCUUUACCAUCUUGCACUUCUCUAUAUUAUUUGCACUAAUAUCCAGAUGUGACCGUCUGAAACAGUCUUUCAUCUCACUUCUCUAUAUUAUUUGCACUAAUAUCCAGAUGUGACCGUCUGAAACAGUCUUUCAUCUCCUUAAUAGCCUUUUGAAUAUCAUCGUUCCACCACCAAGUAUCACUUCCCCUGGUCAACCCAAACUCCUUAAAGCCACCUUACGAACGCAAAACGCCAUCUUCAUCCACAUGUUUGCAUCACCUCGUUCCUCCCAAGGGCCCUCCUUAAUAACCCUUUCCUUGAAAGUCUGAGCUGCCUCUCCGUCGAUCGUGCAUGAUGUACAGAAACAUGGCAUUUUGGUGAUCAUAGCGAAAAAACACACUUCGGCAUAAACAACACUCUUCCACCUUGCGCAAAGACAUUACAAUACCAGUUUGCAUACAUCCCCGACAGUUUGGCAUAAAGUGAAUAAGAAAGCACAACACUCUUUCACCAUGCGCAAAGACAUCAAAAUACCAGUUUGCAUACAUCCCCAACAGUUUUACCCUUUUUCCCGUUUCAUAUUGGUACGUGACUUUUAACGAUGUUUCAUGAACAAGAAUAGGAGCAUGUAUUAUGUAAUUACGUACUUCACAUACAGAG